rnacentral:lncRNA from 1 species
CCCCCAGGGUUCAGUAGGCACCUGGCCCCAGCCGCAUGAAUGCUCCCAUCCUCCGCAGAUCCUCUGCUUCCGGUGCCGAAGCUCCUCCCCCAGCGUGGGGACCCCCCCCACCAGGCCCCUCCCACGUUGCCCCUCCCGCCACCCCAGCUCCUCUCUCCUAACUCCAGCACCUUUGUUCCUUCAAAAGUUAUUUAUUUGGUAAAUGUAAUGGCCAUAGAGCGUCACCCUCGUGUCCCUAACAGCCUGGCUGCAGCCUUCACUUCGCUUCUCCGGAGCCUGCACGGAUCGGCUCCACCCGCCGCCCUGGGUCUGCUGGAGUCGCUGUCUUUCUUGCUGGGGACCUUUGCACACACACCCGUCUCCCAGAACAAGAAAGGACAAAGAGAGGCGGCCGUAAAUCACAGCUCCAGCUCUCGUUCCCCAGGGCCGCGCGGGCCCCAGAUGAGCAGUCGCUGGCCUGUUGUUGGGGUGGAAGCAGAUGACACGCUAAGUGACAGCUGUGUGCUCCGGUUAUUCACACGGUGACCGAGGCGCUCCUGCUAAGGCCUCGUCAGCGCAUUGCUGCGUCCCAGCAGCGUCCCAGCAGACAGGAGGUUGGGGGGGAGCCGGGGGCCACCCAGGACCAGGUGAGGAGGGGCCCGAGUCCAGCAGAGGAAGGAGCUGUCUAUUAUGAGGGCAGAUUUGCAUUUUAAGGGUCACUGAGCACCAGGGGGUGGGGCCUGGACCCCCGGCCAGCCUGGCGUGAGGCAAGAGCCACGGGGCCCUGUCCCCACUCCCCCCGCGGUUGGGGCGCUCAGGGGCCUCUGUCUCGGGAAAGCCUCUCCGGUUGGCGCCUCACGUAAGAGACCGUGUUUGCUCUAGCCUGGGCACCCUGCCCUGGGUCCCGUGAGUGGGGAACAUCCAGGCCGUGGAGAAUAGGCCCCCUGAUGCUGCGGGGGGGUGGUCUGCAUGUGAGGCAAUGCGCCCCCCACACUCCCUGCAAUGCGUGAGGGUCUUGUGCGCCAGGCGCAAGGCUGCCUGCUGCCUGGCUUGGCCUCUGUGGGCAGUGGGCUCAGUGGGGCUGGGGAGGGGAGUGAGCUGGGCUCAGCGCUCGGCUCUGGCACGUGAGCCCCAGCCACCGCCCCCCCCCCUGCUGAUUCAUAUAAGGAAGGAGAUCCCCUCCCCCCCAGAGCCCUCCCACCCGAGCCCCGGGGCUCACCUUGCUUCUCUGGGGAGGACUGUACCUGCCUCUUGAUUAUUCAGCUGCCACAUGACCGCCGUGGCCCAAGGGAAGGUGUGCGGAGGGGACACUUGGUGGCCUGAGCAGGAAAUUUCAGAGCCCCGUGUGUCCGCCAGUUUUCCGGCUCUCUCCCUCUGCAAAGAGGCAUGUCUCGGACCAGCUCCAGGCGAGAAGACCCAAGGAGCAGGGCAGGCUAGCCGGGGAAAUCGGCCACUGGGCUUUGGUGGGGGGAGAUGUUUGUUGACAAAGGCUGGCUGGUGCGUGACAGUAACGAAGGGGCUCUUUCCAAAUCCCCACGGAAGAGGA